rnacentral:rRNA from 1 species
ACUCAAUAGAUACCCCGGUAGUCCUGGCAGUAAACGGUGCGCGUUUGGUGUGGGAGGAUUCGACCCCUUCUGUGCCGGAGCUAAACGCGUUAAACGCGCCGCCUGGGGAGUACGGUCGCAAGAUUAAAACUCAAAGAAAUUGACGGGGGCCCGCACAAGCGGUGGAGUAUGUGGCUUAAUUCGAUGCAACGCGAAGAACCUUACCUAGCCUUGACAUGCAUCUCUAAGUCGGUGAAAGCCGGCGAGUGUAGCAAUACACAAUUUGCACAGGUGCUGCAUGGCUGUCGUUAGCUCGUGUCGUGAGAUGUUGGGUUAAGUCCCGCAACGAGCGCAACCCCUGUGAACUGUUGCCACCUACCUUUGGGUAGAGCACUCUGUUCAGACUGCCCUGUGAAACGGGGAGGAAGGUGGGGAUGACGUCAAGUCAGCAUGGCCCUUACGGCUAGGGCUGCACACGUACUACAAUGCUCAGUACAGAAUGAA